AGAGUUUGAUCAUGGCUCAGGACGAACGCUGGCGGCGUGCCUAAUACAUGCAAGUCGAACGAACUCUGGUAUUGAUUGGUGCUUGCAUCAUGAUUUACAUUUGAGUGAGUGGCGAACUGGUGAGUAACACGUGGGAAACCUGCCCAGAAGCGGGGGAUAACACCUGGAAACAGAUGCUAAUACCGCAUAACAACUUGGACCGCAUGGUCCGAGUUUGAAAGAUGGCUUCGGCUAUCACUUUUGGAUGGUCCCGCGGCGUAUUAGCUAGAUGGUGGGGUAACGGCUCACCAUGGCAAUGAUACGUAGCCGACCUGAGAGGGUAAUCGGCCACAUUGGGACUGAGACACGGCCCAAACUCCUACGGGAGGCAGCAGUAGGGAAUCUUCCACAAUGGACGAAAGUCUGAUGGAGCAACGCCGCGUGAGUGAAGAAGGGUUUCGGCUCGUAAAACUCUGUUGUUAAAGAAGAACAUAUCUGAGAGUAACUGUUCAGGUAUUGACGGUAUUUAACCAGAAAGCCACGGCUAACUACGUGCCAGCAGCCGCGGUAAUACGUAGGUGGCAAGCGUUGUCCGGAUUUAUUGGGCGUAAAGCGAGCGCAGGCGGUUUUUUAAGUCUGAUGUGAAAGCCUUCGGCUCAACCGAAGAAGUGCAUCGGAAACUGGGAAACUUGAGUGCAGAAGAGGACAGUGGAACUCCAUGUGUAGCGGUGAAAUGCGUAGAUAUAUGGAAGAACACCAGUGGCGAAGGCGGCUGUCUGGUCUGUAACUGACGCUGAGGCUCGAAAGUAUGGGUAGCAAACAGGAUUAGAUACCCUGGUAGUCCAUACCGUAAACGAUGAAUGCUAAGUGUUGGAGGGUUUCCGCCCUUCAGUGCUGCAGCUAACGCAUUAAGCAUUCCGCCUGGGGAGUACGGCCGCAAGGCUGAAACUCAAAGGAAUUGACGGGGGCCCGCACAAGCGGUGGAGCAUGUGGUUUAAUUCGAAGCUACGCGAAGAACCUUACCAGGUCUUGACAUACUAUGCAAAUCUAAGAGAUUAGACGUUCCCUUCGGGGACAUGGAUACAGGUGGUGCAUGGUUGUCGUCAGCUCGUGUCGUGAGAUGUUGGGUUAAGUCCCGCAACGAGCGCAACCCUUAUUAUCAGUUGCCAGCAUUAAGUUGGGCACUCUGGUGAGACUGCCGGUGACAAACCGGAGGAAGGUGGGGAUGACGUCAAAUCAUCAUGCCCCUUAUGACCUGGGCUACACACGUGCUACAAUGGAUGGUACAACGAGUUGCGAACUCGCGAGAGUAAGCUAAUCUCUUAAAGCCAUUCUCAGUUCGGGAUUGUAGGCUGCAACUCGCCUACAUGAAGUCGGAAUCGCUAGUAAUCGCGGAUCAGCAUGCCGCGGUGAAUACGUUCCCGGGCCUUGUACACACCGCCCGUCACACCAUGAGAGUUUGUAACACCCAAAGUCGGUGGGGUAACCUUUUAGGAACCAGCCGCCUAAGGUGGGACAGAUGAUUAGGGUGAAGUCGUAACAAGGUAGCCGUA
rnacentral:rRNA from 1 species